AUAUUUCUGUUGUGUUUGAUAACAAAAACCGCAACGGUGUAGUUGCCAACUUUUAAAGCUCUCUAACGCUCAUUUACAAUAAUCUCCAUAUACAAAUUGUAAGCCCAGUGGCUGAAAGUUAGUUAAUAGGCUCCAUGAACUAUCCAGCACGUUCAAUUAUGUACACGUGUUUCGGCAGGUGUGGUCCUUUGCAAUGUUUACACGAUACGCACACAGACUGCGACAUGUGCCCCAAAAAGCCAAUCCUUGUCACACCGCCUGACAUUUUGUUGGAACAGUGGUAAAUCAGAACUAAUUUCCAAGCCCGGCUCAUCAUCAGAGGUCUCCGCCCCCAAUCCGGAAGACAAUCUCUGACCCCGUACACGGACUACUUACUCCCCGAAAACAUGCUUGAAAGACUGCUAUUUAAAGUUUCAAAUUUCGGACAUUUGUCCGUCACGACCCCAACCGACCGGCAACAUAGGUGGUUGAAUGGCCAACACUCGGCCAGGAUAGCACACAAGGACACUGGACACGGGACAUGGUCGCCGAUGAGACUGUGACACGGGGGGCAUGUGCAUGUGGAUAUGGAUAUACGUUGGUGGAGAUAUAGAUAUACGGACAGGCCUAAGACAUCGACGAACCUGGCGAGUGGAACCUGGACGAUGACAUCGAAAGUCCUUGUAGUUAGCAGAAUGUAGUUUGUUUGACAUCUAUUUAAAAGUUUAAUCGGAUGAGUGUAGUCCGUGCGGUUAGGCUGACCAAAACACAGUGUAUUACAUAGUCACUGACUUUCCGCAUCGCCGCCAGGUGACCGCUCGACCAUCGGACAGGUGUUGCAAUUUCGAGAUGGGUUUCGGGCAUGUGGAGAGUCUAUCCUUCGGCACUAAUUAACGUUGAUUCCAUGGGCAAGAGCCAAUGGAAUGCGGACGUUGUCCGCAUUGAAAUCCAACAAAAAGGGGUUGGGUCCCGACCCCAUCGACAUAAUCAAUUUUACUUUGGGCUUAAUGACGAUUUAUUUUACUGAAAGUGUGGAGCAUAUACUUCAGAUGGGCAUUUGUUAUAUAUAUCUUGGGCAAAAAGUAAAAGAGAGACCUUUUAAAGUGUUAAGUGUUUUAAUAUCCGCCAGAUACAAUAUCUUCAGUUGCUAUCUUUGGUGUUUCAUUAACGGGAUAAAAAGAGUAAUAGGUUUUCCAGUUAGUAUCGAUGGGUUUUUCAUUUCGAAAUAUUUAUUUCAAGUGUAAAAUUGAGAAAUUUGAUGACAGGGGGAUAAAUGUGCUAAUGGCGGGUGGUUGGGCGGAUUGAUCGCCUGCCUGUCGCCAUAGCCACUUCAUGCUCCGAUCGACUGUACUAUCUGUCCAUCGGAUUUUAAUUGCCGUAUUUAUUCGGAGCGCCUCCGCCGACACGUCCAUCGGACAGAUAGCCCAAUACACACGGACAUUCCGGGCCGAGUCAGAGAUACGGAGAUACGAAGACCAAGACCGAUGCCACAGCCAUUGUCUCAUCCGGCCAACUGACCACGGACUAUCGACUAUCUAUCCGGCCGGUAAGUAAUUGUAGGCAAAUAUUUGUGUUUGCUCUUCGCCGCUAUCUGAAGCGGUAACUUGAAAUGCUCGAAUUUGACACUCUGUCCAAGUAUCGGACAUCGGACAUGGGACAUCGCCAGUACAGGAUUGGGGGCGGAGGGGUGUGGUGGAGGAGCCUCCGCCUCCCACUACCUGGCCACUAUCUAUGGCAAUGGCAACAAAGGCAAGCGACUCAACCGUUCAUGCGAAACUUUUAAUUAAACGCCUAAUAGAUGUUUGUCACUCUUGUGCGCCGAUUAAUAGUUCGAUUUCAUUCUCUCGGUCUCGUGAUCUUCCGUGUCAUGUCCAUACGUUCGGCAAUUAAUUUCUAUGGAUUUCCAGCUGGCUGAAGUAUCUGUCAGCUACUCGAGCUGGAGUCAGAACCACAAAUCCGUAACUUUCUGCACUUUGAACGCCGUCUGGCUUUCGGUGCGGUGGCGGCUUUCUUUGACAACGAUAAGAUGGCGCACAGGCGCCCUUUUGUUACCCGAAAAAAUUUAAUAAAAUUAUAUCGCGGCGAAUAUGAAUGCAUAAGCCGAUAAAUUUCAUUUCCUUAAACCGCCCGAUGCUAUCGGCUUAAUUAAUUGAAAAGUGCAGAAAAGCGAGCUGUGUAUCUUAUUAAAUGAUAAAUGCAUUCUCAUUAAUUGAAUUACUUUGAUUACCAGCCAUAUUUAAACUUAUUCGGCCAGUCGCUUAGCCCAUAGUCAAUUUCCGUUUCUCGUUCAGAUUGCCUCUUUUUGGGAACUUUUUUUUUCUUUUGAAUUUUUUAUUGGCCUCACUAUUAAAGCUCGAUCUCAGCGUUUUUGGGCCACGGUGUUUGUGUAUUUGUACUUUCGUUGGGGGCUUGAUCAAUUAACUUUGCUGACAUCGACACUGCGGAAAGUUCAGCGCUGAGUUUUCAUUCAGAAAGAAUUGCAGUUCUCGGUUAUUAAAUCGAAAUGAGUAUGUUCGCUGCUGUGAAUUAAUUCCGAUGACGCAGAUGAAAUGGGGGUUGGCUAAAAUCAAUGGAAAUGUUUCAGCUGUUCUCUAAAUAUUCGCUUAUAGGGGUAGCAACAAUUCUCAUAAGAUAUCUGAUUUAUUUUAAUGGGCGAGUACUGCGUCAAUACGAAAUUUCCAUUCGAACUUUGUAGAAAUAUUUACAGAUGAUAAUUGCCUUGUCAUUUAGCUUGCUUGGAUAAAUAAUUAACUUAUGAACAUUUUAAUAUGUUUAAUCCUCAUGAUAAAAUCGUUUUUAGAAUCUAUAUCUAUUGUGGACAUUUUUUGCACUGUAUAAGUGCUUCUGCAAUUCUAAUUCGAGCUCGCUAAUUUAGCAAGUGCUGUUGUUUUACAAACUAUUUGAUGAGUACAUGUCACUCGUUGUUUUUUAAGCGAGUGCGUCAUUCUGCGAUCACGACCUUCAAAGGCGCGAGCUAAUUUUCUCGCCUGUAUUACAGUGGUUUGUUCUAUGCAAAUCGUAUGCAAAUUGUAAUUAAACGAAAGUUUUGUGAUAUUUGCACACACACUUACACACACACACUCUGUGUGGGGUCGGACCCCACAUGAAAGCAAAAACAAAGGCAGCAAAUUAAAAAAAAAUAAGGGGCGCAAAUCGCGGGAGAGCGCAGUGAAAUAUGAUCGGCGAUCGCAUUUACAAACGCGAAUGUAAGUGCAGCGUUUGCAUUCUCGCAUUCUGCAGUCGAAAGUGUGCAUAUUUUGUUGUUCUUUGGUGGUCCCAAUAGCCCAUCCGGUCGGACGGCCGGAUGAUCGGACGGACAGCGGACGGACAGGCGGACGGACAGACGUACGGACGGACAGAUUGGACGGACGGACAAGCCGCUGCUUCCACGGCGUUGUCGACGCCCCAGUCGCCAAUGCUGUCUACAUUGGAUUUCCGGCCUGGUCUGCAUGAUUGUUAGCUAUUUCCCGAUCGUAAUGUAUUUAUAUAAAGCCAGCGAAAACAAGUUAUUUGAGCGCAAAUAGCCACGCCAAUUAAACAAGCCGCCCAAAUGCGAAUUUCAUAUCGCUUCCUUGUUUGGCCAUGGAUUAAGCACCUGUUUUGGUCGUAAUUCGGCGAUCAUCACUCAAUGAAAGUGUGUACCGCCUAAUGGAAGCGCUUUAAGUCGGUCGCUUAGCGCUCCAAGCGAAUUGCUUUUCGCGGCGGGGCAGUGGAAAUGCGACAUAAAUAUGCAUGAGGACCUGAGUGGGUCUACUACGACUACUACGGCUUUUAGCUAACAUUUUCGAAACUUUUACGUUCGGAUUCUUAAUUCAACAAAACACGCAAAGUUAAUAAAUUUCAAAGUGAAUAUGUUUUCACCAUCAUGCAUUUAGCCUGGCCCGGGAAUGCUUUUUUGUGGCGUCUGGCGACUUCGGACCCUGCUCUUCUUCUUUGCCGGCAAUGGCAAACACAAACUGUAUAAUAUGGGUUAUAUAUACAUACGUAUAUAGCUAUAAGGCAAGGGGCUCCGAAAACAAAAAGAAGACCAUGGUAUGGAAUGGAAUGGAAAUGUUGCCUGCGGCGUGGCUACAUUGUUUGCAACUACAAGUAAUUAAUUUUACCACUACAAGGUUUUAAUGACUUCUAAAAAGUUUUUAGCAUUGCUGGAUAAUCCUCGUGGCCGGGCCAAGUGAAGUCAGGCCAAGUCAACGACGACGACUUUCUCCUUGGCUCUGGAGGCGUGGCAGAGGCGUGUGCCACCCACAACCAGCCCGACCAUUGUCCUACAAGUUGCUUAAGCAAAAAUAAGCGAGUGAGAGUGGUCCGGUGAACAUAGAUGCCCAUGCUCAUGGCGAUGGAUUGUGAUGCUAAAUAGGCCUUGCCUCCAAGCCGUCAGCACACACAGCUGGCCAUGGCCAACUGUUUAUGGCCAGUGUCAUGUCCAACUCCAUGUAGCCGGCGAACCGCAAGGCCAAGAGCCCUGGAACUGAAUGGAGCCCCAAGGCUGCUGCUCCCGCUCCCGCGCCCGCUGCUGCUCCUUGGGUAGAUUGAGUCACGGCUUGGACACAAUGUGCGGUUUUUGGUCUGUUGAUAUAAUUUGAAUUUUAUGGUGUAAUUACGGUCAUAAAUGUAUUUGCCGUUUAAUGGACCAGGCUCCGCACUCUGUGUGUGGGUCCAAACACGGCGAUAAAAAACUUGAACUUUGUUUUUUUAUAUAAAUAAAUUAUAUAAAAUAUAUUAUUUCCCAGAAAUAGUUUUAAUUGAACUAGUUAUAAUUUUUUUAGUAAGCUUAUGAACUUGUCAUGUAUUACUAAUCGGUUUAACUAUUCUUCUCAGUGUACACAACCUUAGACAAAAAUGUUUUUUUGCGUGUCAGGAUGGCCACCCAGGAAAACAAUGUUGCCGCUUAGCAGGAACAGAGCCUUUUGUUGACUGCCAACUAUAAAGUGAUAAAACCGUGAAGACAUCCUGAUGCAUGUGCAUGUGUGGAUGUGGAUCUGGAUGUGAAGUGCCGCUGGCGGAGGCGCCGUGAGUGCAUUUAAUUUGCAUUUAUUGGAUAUUAGCACGUCUGCCCCCGGAUCUCAGGAUCUCUCGAUCUGUGGCCUCACCAUCGCCAGCUCCCGCUCCAUUUCCAGCUGCAUCUGGAGUGCAAGACGCCGCAGGAACAAAAUGAUGUGGUAAUCUACUAUAUAAAGGCCUGCAUACGUACACUUAAUAAGCAAACGCUAACAAUGUAGCCAUCUGAAUGGGCAACUGUGGGGCAACUGUGGAGUUUGGCGGGCUAGGUUGAGGUUGAAACUUUAAAUACAAUACGCUAAUGGCAUGGCAUUGUGCCGGCAACUGAUUCUGAAUCCGAAUCUGGAUUGGAUUGGGCUGGCUUGGAUGGCAUUGGAUUGGUUCGGAUGGGUUGGUAUGGGAUUCGUUCGAUGCCUUUCGGUUUCCCAGCGCUUUUGUUUCCCGUCGAGCAUGACAAAAGUGGCGACAGCAGCAGAAGCAGCAGCAGCACUCGUGAAUGCGAGGAGGUAGCGCAAAAAAAAGCUGAAAACAGAACACACUGAAUUAUAAACAUUUUAAAUUGAAAUAACGUGUCGCAAUUUUUUGUCGCUACUCCUUGCCGCAGAAACAAAACAAAACCGAAAUCGGAAUCGAAU